rnacentral:misc_RNA from 1 species
AGCUGACAAUACAACUCUUAAAAUAUAUAUAGUAUCUUUGAGGGUGGCCAACUAGAGAACAUACAAUUUCCUGUGCAGCAUAAACAGAAUGACUAGUGAGUUCGGGAUUCUUCCCAAAGAAAAGUAAUAUGCGAAUACUGCAAUACGUCACCAUGCCUAACCAAUUCAAUAAACAACUGAAGUGCCUGCCCUUCGAUGGCUCAAGAAAGCGGUGUGUCUGUGUCACUAGCAGCAACAUUUUGUUCACUCUUUAAUGGUGGCAACUCUGAGAUCAACGCCUACUGCGAGCUGCUGAGCCACAGUAGCUUGCCAGUUUGCUUGUGCUUGAAGUCAAGAUCGCUCAUAUAUCUCUUAUCUAAUCUGUUGUCCCACCAUUUACCAGGGUUUUCCACUACGUCUGUCCAUUAUUGAUCCCUUUUAAACGGCUUCCCUUGUUUUGAUUU